GUAUUACAUCCUUUAAGCCAAAGUAAGAGUACAAGGCCCUCUGAGAUCAGGAAAGCAACCCAUUGUGAUCCCAGGUGUCACACCUAAAGGAUGCAGUAUUCAGGUUCUUUCUGGGGACAGUGCCAAGCGGGUUAUGACCAGCUCCCCCCGACGACAGCAUCCUCGAAUGCUGCAGAUCCAGGCUUUCCAGGGCACAGCCCACGGGGCUGGCUCUUUGGUGCGACUGUAAACAGCAGUCAACUGUUUAAUGACCUAAUGUGGGUUUUUAUAGACUCAUCUCCUACAACCAGGUUGCUCUCUGAACACUUGAGAUAAAUCUUCACCCACUCUCUGAAAUUGUUCAACACACAGGUUAAUUUCUCAUUAUCGAUUUUCUCCAUCAUGCAUCUUGAAUGCUUCAAGAUCUCUUGACCAACACACAAAAAAAUCUCUGCGACUGUCAGUUUAAACAGAAUAGUUCUUCAAAAGAACGCUUGAAACAUCAGUAAGGAGAAUGAAGUAACUCUUCCCCACCUAUUAGCAGAGCAGUGUAACUGGAUGUUGGAUUAGAUUUCAAGGAGAGAACACAAUCAGGAACAUUUAUAAGAAGCGGUUUCAUCUGUUUAAGCUUCUGAACGUGAGUGCUACUCUUGUAGGUGUCCCCAGGCAGCUAUGUUAUUGUCAUCAAGGGACUGAACAUUUCAAGUGAAAUCAGAGUAAGGACCUGAACCUUCUUGGAUGAUGUAAGAGUCAAUGCAACACAGGAGGAAAAGCACUGGACACUAGGUGUUGGAAGACCCUUUCGCCCUGUUAGAAUUAGGACCAUUUUCUCUAGGC
rnacentral:lncRNA from 1 species